CCUACGGGAGGCAGCAGUAAGGAAUAUUGGUCAAUGGAGGCAACUCUGAACCAGCCAUGCCGCGUGCAGGAAGACAGCCCUCUGGGUCGUAAACUGCUUUUAUUCGGGAAUAAACCUCAUUAUGUAUAGUGAGCUGAAUGUACCGAAGGAAUAAGGAUCGGCUAACUCCGUGCCAGCAGCCGCGGUAAUACGGAGGAUCCAAGCGUUAUCCGGAUUUAUUGGGUUUAAAGGGUGCGUAGGCGGCUUUUUAAGUCAGGGGUUGAAAGACGGUAGCUCAACUAUCGCAGUGCCCUUGAUACUGAAGAGCUUGAAUGGACUAGAGGUAGGCGGAAUGUGACAAGUAGCGGUGAAAUGCAUAGAUAUGUCACAGAACACCGAUUGCGAAGGCAGCUUACUAUGGUUUUAUUGACGCUGAGGCACGAAAGCGUGGGGAUCAAACAGGAUUAGAUAACCCUGGUAGUCCACGCCCUAAACGAUGAAUACUCGCUGUUAGCGAUACACAGUAGUCGGCGUACGACGAAGACGUUAAGUUAGUUACCUACCGUACGGGUAGGUACGGUCGCGAGAGUUAGUAAACGUACGAAAGUAGUAAGUUAGUACGGACGUGAGGACGUAGACCGACGGACGACGACGAGGGGAGGAGG
rnacentral:rRNA from 1 species